rnacentral:rRNA from 1 species
UACGAAGGGGGCUAGCGUUGUUCGGAAUUACUGGGCGUAAAGGGCUCGUAGGUUGCCAACUAAGUCAGACGUGAAAUCCCUCGGCUUAACCGGGGAACUGCGUCUGAUACUGGAUGGCUUGAGUUCGGGAGAGGGAUGCGGAAUUCCAGGUGUAGCGGUGAAAUGCGUAGAUAUCUGGAGGAACACCGGUGGCGAAGGCGGCAUCCUGGACCGACACUGACACUGAGGAGCGAAAGCCAGGGGAGCAAACGGG